CUUCAGCCGAAGUUUCUAUUUCCCUCAAGCUUCAGUGAAGAAUGGUUUAUCAACUGAAGAAAUUGGCUUUUCUUUCAAGAAGAACUGAAGAACAUGAUUUUCAAACUGAGCUGAAGCUAAGUCGUCUCUCUCUUCUUAGCUGAAGUUGGCGAUACCUACGAUUCUCUUCUCCCUAAUACAAAUUCCAUCAAGCAAGAGGAGAAAAAGAAGGAAUUAAUUGCUUUGGAGUUGUGGGAAUGGAGCAAAUCAAGAGUUACAGCUGAAAUUCCAAAGUACAGGAAGCAAGUGCCUAAAAUAUUGAACCCUAGGCAUAUUCAACAGCCAAGAUAGAGGGAAUUACUACUCGGAAGCAUUUGAGUGAGUUCGUUAACAUCUUGUUUUAACUUUUGAUAUAAACUCUUAUAAACUAAUUCCAAGAACAAUAUAAAAUUGUAGUAUCAACUAUGAAACACUUGAACUUCUCUGUUAUGCUCUCAAAUAUGUCUCAUAGUCUUAUUAUACUCAUGUUCGAGCUUGUAUGCUCUUUCAGAUGUUUAAACAUCGUCGUUUAAUGGAAAAUUGUAUGAAUGUAUUGCCAGAAUUAUGAUUAUUGUGUCCCUUUCUCCACAUCUUUGGUCACCCCAACAAAUUAUUCGUUCAACACAAUCCUACAAUCCACUGGACAACAUCUCAAAUGUUUAAUUCCUUCUGUUAUUAAAUCUCAUCUUAUUUUCUCAGUAUUGGCAAAAUCACAUGUUCAAGAUAUUAUCAUGAUGGUUGCUUCUGAAGUCAUUUUCUAUGUAUAUUUUGGUGUCAUUUUUUAUAUUGUUGUUAUACAGUACAAACAACUUGAGUACAGAUGAAAUAAAGGGGGGACAAUUGGAUUUAUAUGAGUUGAAUAGUUUAAAUUUAUUUUUUAGGUUGAAUUUUUUUCCUCUUUUUCUAUUUUUGGCUUGUUGCCGCUCUUUUAUUGUAUAUUUGGUUGGUGAUAGUUGAGGUAUAUUGUUUGUUAGUUAAGGCUUUUCUCUCUCUCUGACUCUCUUUUGGAACCUCUCAACUAUAAUUUCCUCAACUUUGUCUAGUUGUUGUUCAUUCAAAUCAUCUUUUAUUUUGUUUGUUGAUGUAUUUCCUUUAUUGGUUCUUCUUGGUUGUUGGUUUGAUCCUGUACAACAAGAUCAUUAUAGUAAUUAUGAGUAGAAAAUAAUAGCGUUCAGUAUCUUACCUGACUGUUUCUUCCCAAAGUAUGUAUGUUUUGCCUGUAGUUCUCCUUCUUUCAAACUUGCCAGUGCUCAUCUCAUAUCUCAUUUACCUUCUCCAGCCGACAGUACUUGCUUGGUAGUGAUAACAGGAGUCGCAAGGUUAAUAGGGAUAUCAUUUUUAGCCUCAUUUUGGUCUUAGUCGAGCAGCAAAUGAUUGGAUAAUACUUUAGGGAGAUAAUUUUGGGACUAUGUGCUUAUUAGCCUUGUGAGUUGAAACCUGAUUCAUCAUGUUUCUAUCUUUAUGUAAUUUUGGAGUAGUUUGAUCAAUGUGUGUCAUCUUCCCCUUUUUCCACCUUGAGAAUUGAAAUUCACUGACUCGCAACUUGGUGUGAGCUUGUAAUCCCGAGAACAGAUGGAUGGAUCAGAUAUCAGUUUAGUUGAAAGACUUUGGUACAAUUAUCAAAUGACAAUUUCGGACAUGUUAUAUAAAUAGGAACACAACUAGUUUUAUUUUGUUAGUUGUCAUUAUAUGUCUUAUAAGUUUCCCUUUCUGAUAUUGGCUUGCAAAAGAUUUUAAAUCUGAGUAGAUGAAACAUCAUUUUAGUUGAUGAAGUUUUGUACAACUAUACAAUUAAAACUAAAGGCAUGUUCCGUAGAAAAGUGAUUACUUUAGUCCUAACAAUCUUAUUUUGUCUUCUUAUAAAGAAAGAAACUUCCUCAUUCUGUUUAUCCUUAUCAGAUCAAUUUAUAUGCCUAGGUAUAUUCCUGUUUUUAUGUUCCAAGCAUAUCCUAUGUGCUCUCGAUUAAUACAUAUACUUCACUGAAUCUGCAAUCUUCUAGAAUAUACAGUAAAAGGCAUGUUUUCCACAAAUUUAUGUAAUAAUAGCAUGCUGCACUUUGUAUUUUUCCUUUAAAAAGAAAUUAGAUGUCCUGCUGCCUCUAUAAAGCUAUUAUUGCUGCAAAGUAGAUAAGACUGAAACAAAAAGCAUUUAAGGUACCAGAGAAACUGGAAGAGGUAAUGUCAGUUACAAAGAGAAAGCAACACAUGAGUCCAUGUAAUGUAUAUUUGGUCCAUCAAGAUGUCUGCAUUUUUUCCCAUCACCCUUGAGUAGGUUUCAGCAUGUAAGAGUUCCAACUUGAGACAUCGUGAUUGUAUAUUUGGUUGGUGAUAGUGGAGGUUGUUUCAUUUGGAGUUCCUUUGAAGGUAUUGUGUGUUUUACUUAAUUUGGUUUCUAAUUUGGAUGUGGAUUGCAAUUUGCAAAUCCAUCAUGUAACUAUAUUUUUUCUUUAGUUUUAUACUUUUGCAUAUGCACAUUUUGAACAAUUUUUUUUCUAAACCAAGAAAUCUUCUCAGCUAUUUCAAGUUUUGCUGAAUGGAAAUUAAUAUUAUGCAGACACCAAAAUCAAGGUACUUCUAAUCUCUUAACAAUAAAAUGACUAUAUUUCAUCCUUGAAAUAAUGAUAUACAAUGACAUACAGUUUUGCAGUUAUUAUUAGGUAUAUAUUAGAAACAAGAAUGGUAACAAGAUACUCGAAACUCACUAUGAUUCUUAUAAUCUCAUAACAUAUGAUUCUGGUUCUGAUGAUUCGAGGGCUCAAGGUGGCAGCUUAAGGUAGGUUCUUGAUUCUCUUGAGCUUCCUCACCCUGAAGUUUGUCAUCUCCAUUUUUUCUAAGAAACAGCUACCCUUAGCAGUAGAGUGUAUUGUUUUUCUGUGUAGUAUGGAUAUAUAAUGUCUAGUAUGUGACUCCAUUUGGAGAGUUAGCCACCUGUUAAGUUUUCUUCCCUAUAAAUAUGUUUGCACUGAAAGAAUUAAACACACAAAUGAGUUGCUGGAGCUUUUGUACUAGAUGUUGUAUUUUCCAAGGAGAUUUACUAGCUUGGUUGAGCCAUCUAGUGAGAACUUAGAAUGUACUUCUAAGUUGAUCCUCAUAUAACCAUGCUCAGAGCACCAAUGAAGUUCUUUGAAAAUUAAGAACUUCACCCUCACUAUUGUGAUUCAUAGUCCACCAGUUCAUCAACUGAUUAUUCAGAGCAACGUGUCUGUGAACUUUUUAAGAAGGCAGCAAAGAAGCUCCAAAUGUGAACUUUCAAGGGAUUGUGUUUUACUUAAUUGUUUUCUACUUUGGGUUUCUAAUUUUGAUGUGGAUUUGCAAAUCCAUUAUGUAACUAUAUUUUUUUUCUAUAGUUUUAUUCUUUUGCAUAUUUGUGAAGUAGUUAAUGAUUUAAUGAUUGUUACUGUAAGAUUAAAUAAUUAUUUCUUCUUCUAGGAAUUCUAAUAUCUAAUCCAAGGAUUGAAUGGAUUUAGCAAGGUAUUGCAAAGAGUAUAUUGUUGGCGUUGAAUCAUUCCUUGAUUUUGCUUACUCCUAUGAAAAUCCUCAAGGAGACGACAUUCAUUGUGUGUGCAAAAUGUUGUAAUAUUCGUUGACUCGAAGGAAUGUACUGUAUGAUCAUCUAAUAUGCUAUGGAUUUGUUAAAGGUUGCUAGAUGGAUCAAUCACGGGGAUGGGGUAUCAAGUAGAAUAUUGGCGAUGAUAUGGAUUACGCGCGUGAUGAUCUUGAUGGGUUGUUGAAUGAUCAAUUUAGAGAUGUUGCACAGGCUGAAGGAGCUUAUGAUGGUCGAAAUGAAGAUGCCAAGAAAUUCUAUAACUUAGUUGAAGAGGCAAGCCAAGAACUAUAUCUUGGUUAUACAUGAUUCUCUAAAUUAUCAUUCACACUUCGAUUAUAUUUGUUGAAUUGUCUACAUGGAUGGAGCAAUGAAUCAUUCACUUCUCUUUUAGAGUUAUUAAAAGAGGUGAUGCUCGAGUUGAACAUUCCUCCGUCUUACAAUAAAACCAAGUCUAUG